ensembl:lncRNA
AAAACCUUUGCACCAUUACAAGACAUGGACAAGCAUCAGCUAGAUGAUGGUUCUAAGGCAGCAAUGGGGACCAUGAAGAAGCAAAAUAAAAAGGCAAAAGACACAAGAAAAAGAAACAAAGAGGCUAAAAAAAGGAAAGAUAACGAGGUAAAAAGAUUGGAAAUGGACCGGGACACAACGGAGAAAGAGAAAGAGAAAGAGAAGAUGGUUGAAGAAAAAAAGAAAGCCGAGCUGAUUUGGAGACUGGAGGAGGAGAGACUGAAGGCUUUGGCAGAAGUGACAGAAACAGACAUGGCAAAGGAACAGAAGGACGGUGAUAUGAAGGCAGACAUAUUGAGGGUGGAAGAACAAGGGAAGAGAGUUCAAGAAAACAGCCAGAAGCAUAAGACAAAACAGGAGCAAGAGACAAUGAAGUUAAAUAUGGGCAGAGAAAGAAUGGAAGAAGAGAUAAAGAUGAUGGAUGCAGAACAUGAUAAAGCCAAUAUGUCAAGGAGACUGGAAGAGAAGAGUAUGAGUGCUCUGGAAGAAGAAGAGGAGAAGAGGAGAGUAAAGGAGGAAGUUGAGACAGAAAUGGUGAAAGGACAUCCCUCCCCUGCAGAAAAGUUAGAGUCUGAUGAUAAAGUCUUGAGAGUCCCUGAAGAAUGUGAAAAAGAAGGAAAGAAAGGCAGGAAUAAAGGCAAGGAGAUCCUGAUGGAGGACAAAGAACCUAUGAUGAAGCCCGAAAAGACAGCACAUGCAAAUUCAGAGAAUAUUCUACUGAAGUCACCUUUACAAGGAGAUCACCUCUCUCCCAUUGUGGAAAAGGUGACAUCAAAACCUUUGGCACCAUUACAAGACAUGUGCAAGCAUCAGCUAGAUGAUGGUUCUAAUGCAGCAAUGGAUGAGGAAUGCAUGAGGAAGCAAAAGAAAAAGGCAAAAGACACAAGAAAAAGAAACAUACAGGCUGAAAAAAGGAAAUACAACGAGUUAAAAAGAUUGGAAAUGGACAGGGACACAACGGAGAAAGAGAAAAAGAAGAUGGUUGAAGAAAAAAAGAAAGCAGAGCUGAUUAGGAGAUUAGAGGAGGAGAGACUGAAGGCUUUGGCAGAAGUGACAGAAAUGUUGAAAGCAAAAAAAGCUAUUCGAAUGUAAACACUAUCGGAAGGGCCAUCUUCCAAAUAAGAUAAUCAGAGACCUAAGACAAAUGUCAUCAUUCCAGAUACUCACAGAUUCACACAGUAUUUUAUUUGAUCUUCUUUCACAUUUUUUUUUUUUCUAGUGACAGCUAUUUUUGACAAUUUGCCUUGAAGACACCCCACACUCCUAUAAUGAAAUAAACAAAACAUAAAGUAUGCUUGGGCAAAAAGGUAGUUUUAUUGUCAUGUUUUAAUAUGACUAGAACAGAGCAUAGAAUUAGAUAGAGUCAGAUGUCAUUAGACAUCCCAAUCGAGAGUCAAAAUCCA